UUGCCCAAUAAUUCAAAGCCUACAGCCGCCAUUUGUAGAGCUUACAGAGACCUGAUUCCUUCCUUGUUGGGCGCUGUAGAGAUUCAAUUAAGUUGAUGAUUUAGGGUGAAAUUACCAGUGCCUUUUUUCUUUUAAGUACUUCAGACGAGUUCUCUAAUGGCAAAGGGAGAGGCCGUCGCUGUUAAAGAUGCUGUCCACAAAUUACAACUCUGUCUUCUUGAAGGCAUCAAAGAUGAAAACCAGCUCAUUGCUGCUGGAUCUCUGUUGUCUCGGAGUGAUUAUCAGGAUGUAGUAACUGAACGAUCAAUAGCUAACAUGUGUGGUUAUCCUCUUUGCAGCAAUUCUCUGCCUUCUGAAAGGUCUCGGAAAGGACAUUACAGAAUAUCAUUGAAGGAGCAUAAAGUUUAUGAUCUUCAUGAAACAUACAUGUACUGUUCAACAAAUUGUGUUGUCAAUAGCGGAGCAUUUGCUGGUAGCUUGCAGGAUGAGAGAAGUUCUACACUGAAUCCAGCAAAGCUUAAUCAAGUCCUGAAUCUAUUUAAGGGGUUGCAUUUACAUUCCCCAGAAGAUGUGAAGGAAAAUGGAGAUCUAGGAUCUUCUAAGUUGAAAAUCCAGGAAAAAGCGGAUGUAAAGGGGGGUGGUGAAGUUUCAUUGGAAGAGUGGAUGGGUCCAUCUAAUGCAAUUGAAGGCUAUGUUCCACAGAGAGAUCGAAGUGUGAAUCCAGCACUCUUGAAAAACAUUAACAAAGGAUUCAAGAAUAAGCAUGCCAGACUCCAAGAUGAGAAAAACAUGAUACUUAAUGAGUUUGAUUUUUCCAGCACUAUAAUAACUCAAGAUGAGUAUAGUGUUUCAAAGUUUCCAGCUCCUGUAAAUGCUGUCUCGAGUGAAAAGUUCAAAGAAGCCCAAGCGAAGACGAGGUACAAAGUUAGGGAUGAUGAUGUUUCUAUACUGGGAAAGCGAGUUGAUGCCUUGCAGUUGUGUUCUGGAGAAGAAACAGAAAAAUCGGAUAAGAACACUAGAUUUUUGAAGGUGGACAAAUUUAAUUCUGGUGAAGUGUCUUCUGGUCCUUCCCAACAUGAUGUCAAGAACAAAAGUGUCCUAAUUAUGUCGGAUGACGGAAGGAAAUAUGCAUCCCAUGGUGAACAUGAGAAACAAUUGCUCAGAUCUUCUUUAAAAUCUUCAAAUUCCAAGAAAAUGUCUCGGUCAGUUACUUGGGCUGAUGAAAUUAUCGAUGGUGGCAUUGGCAAGAAAACAGAGAGCUCAUCCAAAAUAUCAGAAUAUGAGAACCAAGCUUAUGGGGGAUCAGCCUCUACUGACAUGGAAGAGGAUGAUGAUUCAUAUCGGUUUGAAUCUGCAGAAGCCUGUGCAGCAGCACUAAGCCAAGCAGCAGAGGCUGUUGCCUCAGGUUCUAAUGUCCCUGAUGCUGUGUCCAAAGCCGGGAUUGUAAUAUUGCCAACCUCACAAGAAGUGGAUGAAGCAAUACUUCAAGAGACUGAGAUGCUUGAUAUAGAACCAGCUCCUUUAAAAUGGCCAAGAAAACCAGGGAUGCCAAAUUAUGAUGUUUUUGAAUCAGAGGACUGUUGGUAUGAUGAUCCACCCGAGGGGUUUAAUAUGACUCUGUCACCUUUCGCAACAAUGUUUAAUUCCCUCUUCACGUGGAUAUCAUCAUCGUCCUUGGCAUUUAUAUAUGGGCAUGAUGAAAACAAUAAUGAGGAGUAUUUGUCUAUCAAUGGAAGAGAAUAUCCUCACAAAAUUGUGUUGUCUGAUGGCCGGUCAACUGAGAUCAAGCAGACUCUAGCUGGCUGUCUUGCUCGAGCAUUGCCGGGAUUGGUUGCUGACCUUAGGCUGCCAGUACCAAUAUCAACUUUAGAGCAAGGAAUGGUUCUCCUCUUAAAUACAAUGUCUUUUGUGGAUCCACUCCCUGCAUUCCGAAUGAAGCAGUGGCAACUUAUUGUACUUCUGUUUCUUGAUGCUGUUUCUGUAUGUAGGAUACCCACACUGGCUCCAUAUAUGACAGGGAGAAGGACUUCGCUUCCAAAGGUGCUUGAUGGUGCUCAGAUAAGCACAGCGGAAUAUGAGAUCAUGAAAGAUCUAAUCAUUCCACUAGGUCGAGUGCCUCAGUUCUCAAUGCAAAGUGGAGGCUAGUUUGACAUGAAAUAGCUGUUGUGGACCCUCUCCUAUAAACCUUCAUGGUAGAUAGAGGAGGUGAAAAUAGACUUGAAAGAACUGCACAGAGCUGUUGCUUAAUGCAAUUUACAGCAAGUUCUCUAAUCCUGGUAGGAGUUGAUUUUGCCACCUUCCCACCAGCAAGAUAUCUUCAUCCUAUCAUUAUAUCCUCUUGUUGGAACAUUGUUUAGUUUGGCAAGGUCUGAUAUCUCAUGUUUACUGCUGUGAUCUCUCUUAUCUUAGGGACCAGUGAUAUGGAAACUGUGAUUCCACUUUUUUUAGUGUGAAAAUUUGGUCAAUCAUUCUUACCUACUUUGUGCAGUCAUGUAAAAAUUCUUAAUAUGUUUUGUGAUUUGUGAAUAUAUAACUAUAAAAAGAAACUACCAUUUUUCUGUGGGUUUUAAAUCCAAA